rnacentral:sRNA from 1 species
AUUAUUAUCUGCUUCAUGUUUACAGAAUACUCUGUUGAAUUUGGUUUGCCAGAUUUUGUCAAGCAUUUUUCCAUCUACAUUCAUAAGAAAUACUGAAUUCUCAAUCACAAUCCUCUGACAACUGUUGAAGAUCCGUAUCUCUUUAAAUUGCCAGCAUUAAAAUAUCUAGACAUGGGAACAACGCUAGUCCCACUUACAACACUUAAGAACAUUCUCAUGAUGACUGUUGAACUGGAAAAACU